UCUGUUUUUGUCAUGGGGAGCGUAAUACUCAAUGAACGUUUAGUAAGAGUAUUUAUGCUGGCACCAUUGAAUAAUUACCCCGUGCAAUGCAAUCCUUCUUAUUUAUCAGAAUAUUGCACUGAAACA